rnacentral:tRNA from 1 species
GGGCUCGUGAUCUAGCGGUAUUAAAUUAUAUUUCAUUUAUAAUUUGCCCAAGAUGCCCGCUUGACGUGCGGGAAAUCGGGAGUUCAAUUCUCCCCGAGCCCA